GGGGGAAGAAGGUCUUCGGAUUGUAAACCCCUGUCAUGUGGGACAUUAAAAAGAUAGUACCACAAGAGGAAGAGACGGCUAACUCUGUGCCAGCAGCCGCGGUAAUACAGAGGUCUCAAGCGUUGUUCGGAAUCACUGGGCGUAAAGCGUGCGUAGGCUGUUUCUAAGUCGUGUGUGAAAGGCGCGGGCUCAACCCGCGGACGGCACAUGAUACUGCGAGACUAGAGUAAUGGAGGGGGAACCGGAAUUCUCGGUGUAGCAGUGAAAUGCGUAGAUAUCGAGAGGAACACUCGUGGCGAAGGCGGGUUCCUGGACAUUAACU
rnacentral:rRNA from 1 species